ensembl:antisense_RNA anr-47 ncRNA
UUUCCCCGAUUUCCCCGAUUUCCCCGAAUUGACCGAUUCCGCCGAUUUUUUGUUCGUCAUCUUAUCCGAUUUUCUAGAGCUUCUCAAAGUGUCUGCAUCAGGAUUCACGGAUUCGGAUGGUUUAUUAGCCGAUUGACGGGAGGAUCGUUUUGACAGACGAGAUGGAUCAGGUCCAGCUGCUUGGCUUGGGACUUGUGGAGCUGGUUCAGGCACAUUGAGUGGCGGCGGCGGCGGCGGCUCUGGUCCAUCUUUCUUCUCCAUUUUUGCCUGUUUCGAUAUUUUAGGAUCUUCUUCGACGACGAUCAUUGUCAAAUGGGUACACUCUUUUUCUUCUGGAAAAAUGAAAAAUACAUCAUUUUGAAGUUUCGACGUGCUGUCAGCCUGUCUCAUUUCUGCUUGAUCUACGUAGAUCUACAAAAAAUGCGGGUGUUGAGACGCAGAGUUCUCAACUGAUUUCGAGUGGUUAAAAACGCGCUGACGUCACAUUUUUUGGGCAAUAGAAUACCAUGCUUUUUGUAGAUCAAACCGUGAUGGGCCAGCCCCUGGCACCACGUGUAAACGGCUUUAAUUACUAACUGUCAGCAAGGAUUCCUAAACUAGCAUUUUGCACAACAACAAAAAAUGGGAAAAUUUGGCUCAAAAUUCUCAAAAACCAGCAAAAAUUGACAGUAAGUAACUAAUUUUAAAAUUCGCGCGCAAACUAAUUUACGCGGGAAUUCAAAAAUUUUUUGUGUUGUGCACAAAAACAGGGUUAUUAUUUUAUUAUACUUUCUGUAUUAUACGAUUUUCCGGCAAAUCGGCAAACCGGCCAAUUGGCAAUUUGUCGAAUUUGCCGGAAAAAAAACAGAUGCCAAAACUUUUCGGCAAAUUGUGGUUUUGCCCAAUUUUUUGAAAUUUCAGAAUUUCAAUUUCAAUAUGCGAAAUUGUACGCAUCUUAUGAAUGUUAAUAUCUAGAAUAAACCAAAAGAAAUUUCAGAAAUGCACAGUUUUUAUUGGUUUCGUCUUAUCAAAACCGUCACUAAAAACUUCCGCCAAAUUGAUGUUCGGCAAAUUGGCAAAUCGGCAAGAUUUGCCAAACGGUCAUUGCAACUCACUUUUAAUGUACAUUAACGAAACGAUGAACCAAAUCAGACAGCUCACAAAACAAAUACCCGAUCCAUAAACCAACAUCCAUAUGAACCACUGCAAAAAAAAUCUGACAUUUUUCUGAAAAUUUCCCCAUUACUCACCGAUGGUAGAUUGUCUUGAGAAUGGUCACGAAUCGGUAUGUUGUGUCCGAAAAAUUCCACGUAUUCGAUGACAUUGUUGGAGCUAUUGAGCAAAACGGUAGAGUUGACCAUUUUUCAAAAACUUUCAAAAAAUAAAAUGGCGGAAAUGAUUGGAUUUUCGUGGAUUUUAUUUGUUCCGUUUGCUGUUUUUUAAUUUAUUGAAUUAAAUUGAAUUAAAUUAAACGUGAAUUAAAUAGUUUUUAUCUAAAAUUCGGGAACUUUUUCUCAUUUCCGAAAAUAAUUUCACCGAAGAAUGUCCAACUCAACCAUCACAAAAACCGUGCUAAGUGGAAUUGAUACCAACGUCCAGCGGUAUCCAUCUUAUCAUUAUCCAGAGUGGUUCAUAUAUCCCAUAUUUCUAGCAAGUGCUAUCUGCUGUUGUAGCUGCAUGGUUUGGUCCAUCGCGUCUUUUAUGUACUUUAGAAAAGACCAACAAUGCACAGUUAUUGUAGUGAUUGACGAGAAACCAGAAAAAUCAUCUAAAUCUAAGAAAAAGCCUCCGAAAACGCCUAAGGAAAUGGAAAACGGACCGUCAGUGGCCAAAAAGUCUUUGGAAACUUCUAAGAAGUCUGAAAAAUCUGGAAAUUCUUCGAAAAUGAGCGCUAAAGCUUAACUUUUGGUAGUUUUUAAGUCGAUAUGCUACUUUUUGUAAUGGAUUUUAAACUGAAUUAAACUGAAAAAGAAAAAUAUUUGAAUAAAACUUUCUUACUUUUU